AUUGAACGCUGGCGGCAUGCCUUACACAUGCAAGUCGAACGGUAACAGGUCUUCGGAUGCUGACGAGUGGCGAACGGGUGAGUAAUACAUCGGAACGUGCCUAGUAGUGGGGGAUAACUACUCGAAAGAGUGGCUAAUACCGCAUGAGAUCUACGGAUGAAAGCAGGGGAUCGCAAGACCUUGUGCUACUAGAGCGGCCGAUGUCAGAUUAGGUAGUUGGUGGGGUAAAGGCUCACCAAACCAACGAUCUGUAGCUGGUCUGAGAGGACGACCAGCCACACUGGGACUGAGACACGGCCCAGACUCCUACGGGAGGCAGCAGUGGGGAAUUGUGGACAAUGGGAGCAAGCCUGAUCCAGCAAUGCCGCGUGCAGGAAGAAGGCCUUCGGGUUGUAAACUGCUUUUGUACGGAACGAAACGGUCUGGGUUAAUACCUCGGGCUAAUGACGGUACCGUAAGAAUAAGCACCGGCUAACUACGUGCCAGCCGCCGCAGUAA
rnacentral:rRNA from 1 species